UGGAGAACGGUAAUUAUAGUGGCGGAGAGGUGGAGCCCUGGAGCUGGCCCUGGAAGACUAACGAGCCAAACCACCAUAGAGACAGGGAGGGAUGCGUCAGAACACUCUACGGACAAUGGGACGUAGCAGAUUGUAAUAAGGCCCAUUACUUCUUUUGCUUCGACCACAACAAAAAUGGUGAGUCCCUGGUAGAAGCUUUAGUAGUAGUAGAAAAAUUACAACUAGCCACUGGAGACCUUUCCAUAAUUGCAGCCACUACGCUCAGCGAUUCAAAUAUCGUCUUAAUCCGAGAAACUAAGAGUUGGUGGGAUGCCCAGUCGUACUGCCGGAAACAUCACACAGACCUGCCCAGCAUUGGAACUUGGAGGAGAACCGCUUGGUGUACCAAAACCAUAAUACCAGUGCACGGAAGUGGAUCGGACUGCACCGGAACCUUCGGAGUACUUGGUCGGAUGGGAGCAACUCCUCGUACAGAAACUGGAAGGACAACAGACCACCCACCCGCCCUGCCUGGACCGAGAAUAACUGUACUUUGGCUUUAUUCAACUAUGGCUGGCAAUGGUUCGAUUCACAAUGUAACUCCAAGUACAACUUCCUUUGCAACGGGGUUCGAGUCAAGCAGUCGUUCAGAAUAAAGCUCAGCUCGGCAGACAUCGACCCCAAUGACCCUGAAUGGAGCGAGGCGAUCCUGAAACAGUUGCACGGGAAGCUGAAGGAGAAGAUGGUGAACAACGACUUCAAUCUGACUUGGACGAAGGCCCCAGACGGAGAGAUCUUCCACAACACACGCAAAGACGAGAAACAACAACAUCCUUAAUUUGCAGAUGAAAGAUGUCCUCUAAAGGUUGAUUAACCUAGCUUUGACGAUAACAGUCAGUUAUCACCUUGUUCUAGAGCAACCUCUUCAACUAACCCACUGCUUCCCACCCUGUUUUGCCCUCUCACCUGAUUUUAGCGUUGUUUUAAUCAAAAUCUGGGACCUGCACUCUACUGAGUGGUUAGGAGUAGCCUAGCUUACUUGUGUCUAUGAAGGCGGGUAUUUUGGGACCUGCGUGAGACCUCUACAUUUUUAUCAUGAAUUUUUUUAAUAUAAAAUGUACCAUUGCAUAUCUCUCGCUUAUAAAUCAGCAAUGUCCCCCGACCCCAUAUGUGGCCCACACAAGUGGGGUCCUGACCCAUAGGUUGGGAAUCUUUGAACUCCCUAUCUAUACUAUCCUAUAGGCCUACUAUACUAUGUAGCAUGGCGUUACGUAGGUCUGAAAAUUAGAAACUCCUGAAACAGCUGAAACAGCUCCAGAAUAGACCAGUUUUAUAUUAUUGAUAAAUAAUUAUGAGAAUAGUGAGCUGGAUUGGAGCCAGACAAUCAAAUGUGUCCAAUCUGAUCAUAUGAAAUUAUCUCUCUCUGUCUCCACAAUGUUUGAUACUGGCAGCCAUGCAAAGUCUUCCUUUGACUCAAACUGCACGGUCCAAGAUACCCCUCCCUUCCUCCCCCUGUCUCGUCUGUCUCAGAGUAGUUGGACUAUGGAGGAGGACUUGGUAUUGAUUUGCCCGUAACCGAACGUCAAAACCUGAUGCAAACAAAGAUAUUUGCCCAUACAUCCAAGAGGUUAAAAUGCAAAAUCCAAUUCAAUCCAAUGAAUAUAGUUUAGUAGAACAUCAUUUAUUAAUAUUGGAAGGAUAGUGUAGUGGUUGGGGUCUUGGACUCUCAUCUGAAGGGUUCUUGGUUCAAUGUCCACAGUUCUACUGUAGGACUCAUACAUCAAGAUGCUCCCUAACCUCUACCCCAUGAUAUGUAACCAAAUUAACUUUUGUUCUAUGCGAUGAGAUUACAAGUGUGUAGUUAGUUAUUUAUAAAACAGAUAGUGCGGGUCCUUGGUUCUGAUAGACAUUUAGCAGUUGUAAAAUAUAAAUAUAUACCUUGGCAACCAUAUGUUGUCUUGAGGAACUGUUGCUGUUGUUGUUGUCUCGAAGAACUAUUGCUGUUGUUGUUGUCUUGAGGAACUGUUGCUGUGCGGUAGAACAAUGUUUAUUUUCAAUUAUUGAUCACCUUUUACGUUGCUGUGUUUAUUUGUUUAAAUCUCACAAAAAAUAUACUGUUUUAGUAGCCAUUUAAUAAAAGCAAAAAACCCUCCG